GACCAGCGGAGGGAUCAUUACCGAGUUUACAACUCCCAAACCCAAUGUGAACGUUACCAAACUGUUGCCUCGGCGGGAUCUCUGCCCCGGGUGCGUCGCAGCCCCGGACCAAGGCGCCCGCCGGAGGACCAACCAAAACUCUUUUUGUAUACCCCCUCGCGGGUUUUUUUAUAAUCUGAGCCUUCUCGGCGCCUCUCGUAGGCGUUUCGAAAAUGAAUCAAAACUUUCAACAACGGAUCUCUUGGUUCUGGCAUCGAUGAAGAACGCAGCGAAAUGCGAUAAGUAAUGUGAAUUGCAGAAUUCAGUGAAUCAUCGAAUCUUUGAACGCACAUUGCGCCCGCCAGUAUUCUGGCGGGCAUGCCUGUCCGAGCGUCAUUUCAACCCUCGAACCCCUCCGGGGGGUCGGCGUUGGGGAUCGGCCCUCCCUUAGCGGGUGGCCGUCUCCGAAAUACAGUGGCGGUCUCGCCGCAGCCUCUCCUGCGCAGUAGUUUGCACACUCGCAUCGGGAGCGCGGCGCGUCCACAGCCGUUAAACACCCAACUUCUGAAAUGUUGACCUCGGAUCAGGUAGGAAUACCCGCUGAACUUAAGCAUAUCAAUAAGCCGGAG
rnacentral:rRNA from 1 species